UACGGGGUGAGCAAGCGUUGUUCGGAUUUACUGGGCGUAAAGGGCGCGUAGGCGGUCAGCACAAGUCAGUUGUGAAAUCUCCGGGCUUAACUCGGAAAGGUCAACUGAUACUGUGCGACUAGAGUGCAGAAGGGGCAACUGGAAUUCUCGGUGUAGCGGUGAAAUGCGUAGAGAUCCGGAGGAACCCCAGAGGCGAAGGCGGCGCCCUGGCUCGCACCUGACGCUCAGACACGACAGCAUGGGGAGCGAACGGG
rnacentral:rRNA from 1 species